rnacentral:rRNA from 1 species
CAACUUUCAACAACCGAUCUCUUGGCUCUCGCAUCGAUGAAGAACGCAGCGAAAUGCGAUAAGUAAUGUGAAUUGCAGAAUUCAGUGAAUCAUCGAAUCUUUGAACGCACCUUGCGCUCCUUGGUAUUCCGAGGAGCAUGCCUGUUUGAGUGUCAUG